rnacentral:rRNA from 1 species
GUUAAAACACCAGUUCUCGUACGAUCACCGAAGUUGAAGCAACAUCAAGCCUGGUCAGUACCUAGAUGGGUGACUGCUAAGGAACACCAGGUGCUGUAA